AUCUGGGAUUGGGAAGACUGUAAUUUUAGGUGCUGAUAUUGGUCUUGACAUUGUUGGGAGGGUGUUUUUGUUUUUGUUUUUCAGUUGCUUUGUAAUGCUCGCUCUGGUUCUUAGUGGGGUGUGGUUGCUGUGUGUUUUCUGAAAGGAAAUUUUUCUGGGAUCUUUAUCAGUUUGGUCUGUAAGGUUUCCAGAUGAAAUAUGUUUCUAAGUAUUGGAAACUGGCACUUGGGAGUAGGAUGGAUUCGACUUGGGGUCUGAAUGAUCCAAGGAGUGAGGAAAUCAAGGUGUUCCACUGUGAUCUCAUCACCUGGAAUGUUGGCCAAUAGAGAGAGGAGAUGCCACAAUGGAUAGCCUGCUGCAGUGCUGGGGAUGGGACUAGAGGACUGGAUUUGGAGGAGAAGAGGGAGAAUCAAGCUCUGAAGUUCACCUAUUUGCUUGCCUAGCCUACUUGCUUCUUCGACAGGCUUGCCUGGAGGGUUUCUAAAGAAUAUCUGCUGGAGUCAGAGAACUGGAUAAUAGAAUGUGUGAGGAGGCUGGUUGGAGGAGAAUAUCUUCUUGAUCUGUUGGAGAUGCAGGGCAGAACUGCAGUAGCUAUGUUUUUACCAUGUUCUGAUGAAACUAACUCUGUCUCUGAACAAACUUGGAUAGCAGCAGCAGCAACAACAACAACAAAGCAAAAUGGUUACCCUGUCCUAAAUCCUAUACAUGCAUUCCAAGAUCCCCUACAACUAGGACACCUUUGAUCAUCCUCAGCAAUAUUACAGGCCAAUGUUAUUAUUAAAACCCAUACAUCAAUGAGCUUUACUCUGUUUUGACUAAGAAGAAACCACACAUCCUUCACCUUUUAUUGAUUCAUUGCCAGGAAAGGAAAUGCUGCCGUUGAGCCCUACAAGGAAGAUCUUUGAAGAACCGGGA